rnacentral:rRNA from 1 species
UACGGUGGGGGCAAGCGUUGUUCGGAAUUACUGGGCGUAAAGGGCUCGUAGGCGGCCAACUAAGUCGGAUGUGAAAUCCCCAGGCUCAACCUGGGAACUGCAUCCGAUACUGGAUGGCUUGAAUCCGGGAGAGGGAUGCAGAAUUCCAGGUGUAGCGGUGAAAUGCGUAGAUAUCUGGAGGAAUACCGGUGGCGAAGGCGGCAUCCUGGACCGGCAUUGACGCUGAGGGGCGAAAGCUAGGGGAGCAAACGGG